UACGAGGGGGGCAAGUGUUGUUCGGAAUUACUGGGCGUAAAGGGAGCGUAGGCGGGCUCUUAAGUUGGAUGUUUAAAACCGGGGCCUAACCCCGGCGUGGCAUCCAAAACUGGGAGUCUUGAAUGGGACAGAGGCCAGUGGAAUUAGAGGUGUAGCGGUGGAAUGCGUAGAUAUCUCUAAGAACACCAGUUGCGAAGGCGGCUGGCUGGGUCCACAUUGACGCUGAGGCUCGAAAGCGUGGGGAGCAACAGG
rnacentral:rRNA from 1 species